UGGAGCCUACGGGAGGCAGCAGUGGGGAAUAUUGGGCAAUGGGCGCAAGCCUGACCCAGCAACGCCGCGUGAAGGAAGAAGGCUUUCGGGUUGUAAACUUCUUUUCUCAGGGACGAAGAAAGUGACGGUACCUGAGGAAUAAGCCACGGCUAACUACGUGCCAGCAGCCGCGGUAAUCCGUAGGUGGCAAGCGUUAUCCGGAUUUAUUGGGUGUAAAGGUCGUGUAGGCGGGAGCGCAAGUCAGAUGUGAAAAC
rnacentral:rRNA from 1 species